UAAUACGGAGGGUGCAAGCGUUAAUCGGAAUUACUGGGCGUAAAGCGUGCGUAGGUGGUAUGUUAAGUUAGAUGUGAAAGCCCUGGGCUCAACCUAGGAACUGCAUUUAAAACUGGCAAACUAGAGUAUAGGAGAGGAAAGUGGAAUUUCAGGUGUAGCGGUGAAAUGCGUAGAUAUCUGAAGGAACAUCAAUGGCGAAGGCAGCUUUCUGGACUAAUACUGACACUGAGGUACGAAAGCGUGGGUAGCAAACAGGAUUAGAUACCCUGGUAGUCCACGCCGUAAACGAUGACAACUAGCCGUUGGGAGGAUUUACCUCUUAGUGGCGAAGCUAACGCGUUAAGUUGUCCGCCUGGGGAGUACGGCCGCAAGGUUA
rnacentral:rRNA from 1 species